rnacentral:rRNA from 1 species
CAGUCGCCGCGGUAAUACGAAGGGUGCAAGCGUUAAUCGGAAUUACUGGGCGUAAAGCGUGCGGAGGCGGUUUGUUAAGUCUGUUGUGAAAUCCCCGGGCUCAACCUGGGAAUGGCAAUGGAUACUGGCAAGCUAGAGUGCGUCAGAGGAUGGUGGAAUUCCCGGUGUAGCGGUGAAAUGCGUAGAGAUCGGGAGGAACAUCAGUGGCGAAGGCGGCCAUCUGGGACAACACUGACGCUGAGGCACGAAAGCGUGGGGAGCAAACAGGAUUAGAUACCCCGGGUAGUCCCUGUCUCUUAUU